UGGAGUGGUUUACUGUAUUUUAAGUGGGUAGACAAGGUAGCAAGACAGAUUGACUUCAUUGCUUCCUUGUGAAUUGUGUGGUUUAAACAUGGAUAUGCAUGUAUUGCUAUGGUAUACUGACUUUAAUUCUUUAGGAUAUACACCAAAAAGUCAUAUAGCUGGGUCAUAUAUGGUUGUUUUGAAGUCUUUUUUAUUUUUUUAGUUGUUGAUGUACCUUUAUUAUUUUUUAUUUAUUUGUAUGUGGUGCUGAGGAUCAAACACAGUUCCUCACACAUGAUAGGCAAAUGCACUGCCACUGAGCCACAACCCCAGCCCCUGUAGUCUUCUUCUUUUUUUUUUUUAAAGAUUUUUAAAAAAUGGACAUAAUAGGCCUGAGGUUGUGACUCAGUAGUAGAGUGCUUGUCUUGCAUGUGUGAGGCACUGGGUUCAAUUCUCAGCACCACAUAAAAAUAAAUAAAUAAAAUAGAUACCAUUUUCAUCUACAACUAAAAAAUAUUUAAAAAGAUGGUGUUAAAAUAACAUUUCCAUAGUGGUUAUACCAAUUUAAAGUCCCACCAACAGUAUAAAAGUGGUAAAAAUGUUCCUUUACCCCUACAUCCUCUCCAGUACUUAUUAUUAUUUGUAUUCUUUUUUUAAGUGCUGGGGAUCAAACCUGGGGCCCCACACCUAUUAGGUAGGCACUUUGUCACUGAGCUAUAUCACCAGUCCUAUUUUUUAUAUUCUUUAUGAGUGCUAUUCUAAUGAGUGAGAUGAAAUCUCAGUAUAGUUUUGAUUUGCAUUACCCUAAAUGUGAAGGGAUGUUGAAUAUUUUUUUUCAUUUAUCUGUUGCCCAUUUGUAUUUCUUCUUCUUUUUUUAUGGGAGGGGGGUACCAGGGAUUGAACUCAGGGACACUCGACCACUGAGCCACAUCCCCAGCCCUAUUUUGCAUUUUAGUUAGAGACAGGGUCUCAUUGAGCUGGCUAGUGCCUUGCUUUUGCUGAGACUGGCUUUGAACCCACAAUCCUUCGGCCUCAACAUCCCGAGCUGCUGGGAUUACAGGCGUGCACCACGGUACCUGGCUGUAUUUUUUCUUUUGAGAAGUAUCUGUUUAGCUUAGUUGCCCAUUUAUAGACUGGGGUUAUUUGAAUUUUUGGUGUUCAAGUUCUUUUUCAUAUUCUAGAUAUUAAU
rnacentral:lncRNA from 1 species